rnacentral:rRNA from 1 species
GUGAGGAAUAUUGGUCAAUGGGCGAAAGCCUGAACCAGCCAUGUCGCGUGAAGGAUGAAGGUCCUAUGGAUUGUAAACUUCUUUUGCAGGAGGGUAAAGUGAGCUACGUGUAGUUCAUUGCAAGUACCCUGCGAAUAAGCAUCGGCUAACUCCGUGCCAGCAGCCGCGGUAAUACGGAGGAUGCGAGCGUUAUCCGGAUUUAUUGGGUUUAAAGGGUGCGUAGGCGGACUAAUUAGUCAGCGGUGAAAUUUUGCGGCUCAACCGUAAAACUGCCGUUGAAACUGUUAGUCUUGAGUGCGGUAGAGGUAGGCGGAAUGUGUGGUGUAGCGGUGAAAUGCUUAGAUAUCACACAGAACACCGAUUGCGUACGCAGCUUACUGGAGCGCAGCUGACGCUGAGGCACGACAGCGUGGGGAUCGAGCAGGAUUAGAAGCCCGGGUAGUCC